UACGAAGGGGGCUAGCGUUGCUCGGAAUCACUGGGCGUAAAGGGUGCGUAGGCGGGUCUUUAAGUCAGGGGUGAAAUCCUGGAGCUCAACUCCAGAACUGCCUUUGAUACUUAGGAUCUUGAGUUCGGGAGAGGUGAGUGGAACUGCGAGUGUAGAGGUGAAAUUCGUAGAUAUUCGCAAGAACACCAGUGGCGAAGGCGGCUCACUGGCCCGAUACUGACGCUGAGGCACGAAAGCGUGGGGAGCAAACAGG
rnacentral:rRNA from 1 species